rnacentral:rRNA from 1 species
GACCCUACGGGAGGCAGCAGUCGGGAAUAUUGCGCAAUGGAGGAAACUCUGACGCAGUGACGCCGCGUAUAGGAAGAAGGUUUUCGGAUUGUAAACUAUUGUCGAUAGGGAAGAAAAAAGACUGUACCUAUCAAGAAAGCUCCGGCUAACUACGUGCCAGCAGCCGCGGUAAUACGUAGGGAGCAAGCGUUAUCCGGAUUUACUGGGUGUAAAGGGAGCGUAGACGGCAGCACAAGUCUGGAGUGAAAUCCCGGGGCUUAACCCCGGAACUGCUUUGGAAACUGUGCGGCUGGAGCGCAGGAGGG